rnacentral:rRNA from 1 species
UACGUAGGGGGCGAGCGUUAUCCGGAUUCAUUGGGCGUAAAGCGCGCGCAGGCGGGCUCGUAAGCGGGACCUCUAAUCUCGGGGCUCAACCCCGAGCCGGGUUCCGAACUGCGAACCUCGAGUGCGGUAGGGGAGGUCGGAAUUCCCGGUGUAGCGGUGGAAUGCGCAGAUAUCGGGAAGAACACCGACGGCGAAGGCAGACCUCUGGGCCGUCACUGACGCUGAGGCGCGAAAGCUAGGGGAGCGAACAGG